AACGUAGGUGGCAAGCGUUAUCCGGAUUCACUGGGCGUAAAGCGCGUGCAGGUGGCUUCGUAAGUUGGACGUUAAAUCUCCCGGCCUAACCGGGAGGAGUCGUUCAAUACUGCGGGGCUAGAGGGCAGAAGAGGGGGGUGGAAUUGCUGGUGUAGUGGUGAAAUGCGUAGAUAUCAGCAGGAACACCUGUGGCGAAAGCGGCCCCCUGGUCUGCUCCUGACACUCAGACGCGAAAGCUAGGGGAGUGAACGGG
rnacentral:rRNA from 1 species